rnacentral:piRNA from 1 species
UGAAGACUCGAUGAACUGCAGUGGCC